rnacentral:rRNA from 1 species
AGAGUUUGAUCAUGGCUCAGGACGAACGCUGGCGGCGUGCCUAAUACAUGCAAGUCGAGCGGACCUUUCGGGGUCAGCGGCGGACGGGUGAGUAACACGUGGGCAAUCUGCCCGAUACUCUGGGAUAACGCUUGGAAACGAGUGCUAAUACCGGAUGGUCUUCUUGGCCGCAUGGCCGAGAAGGAAAAGACGCGUUCGCGUCGGUGUCGGAUGAGCCCGCGGCGCAUUAGCUAGUUGGUGAGGUAACGGCCCACCAAGGCGACGAUGCGUAGCCGACCUGAGAGGGUGACCGGCCACACUGGGACUGAGACACGGCCCAGACUCCUACGGGAGGCAGCAGUAGGGAAUCUUCCACAAUGGGCGAAAGCCUGAUGGAGCAACGCCGCGUGAGUGAUGAAGGCCUUCGGGUUGUAAAACUCUGUCAUUCGGGACGAACCGGAGUCUGAGGAAAUGCAGACUCUCUGACGGUACCGGAGGAGGAAGCCCCGGCUAACUACGUGCCAGCAGCCGCGGCAAUACGUAGGGGGCAAGCGUUGUCCGGAUUCACUGGGCGUAAAGCGCGCGCAGGCGGUGAUGUAAGUCUGAGGUGAAAACCCGAAGCUCAACUUCGGGACUGCCUUGGAUACUGCGUCACUUGAGGAUAGGAGAGGCAAGGGGAAUUCCACGUGUAGCGGUGAAAUG